UCCCCGGUAGCUCAGUUGGUAGAGCGCUCGCCUGUUAAGCGAUUUGUCGUAGGUUCGAGUCCUACCCGGGGAGCCA
rnacentral:tRNA from 1 species